UGGGGAAUAUUGGACAAUGGGCGAAAGCCUGAUCCAGCCAUGCCGCGUGUGUGAAGAAGGUCUUCGGAUUGUAAAGCACUUUAAGUUGGGAGGAAGGGCAGUAAGCGAAUACCUUGCUGUUUUGACGUUACCGACAGAAUAAGCACCGGCUAACUCUGUGCCAGCAGCCGCGGUAAUACAGAGGGUGCAAGCGUUAAUCGGAAUUACUGGGCGUAAAGCGCGCGUAGGUGGUUCGUUAAGUUGAAUGUGAAAGCCCCGGGCUCAACCUGGGAACUGCAUCCAAAACUGGCGAGCUAGAGUAGGGCAGAGGGUGGUGGAAUUGCCUGUGUAGCGGUGAAAUGCGUAGAUAUAGGAAGGAACACCAGUGGCGAAGGCGACCACCUGGGCUCAUACUGACACUAAGGUGCGAAAGCGUGGGGAGCAAACAGG
rnacentral:rRNA from 1 species